rnacentral:rRNA from 1 species
GGGUUGUGAGGUUAAGCGACUAAGCGUACACGGUGGAUGCCCUGGCAGUCAGAGGCGAUGAAGGGCGUGCUAAUCUGCGAUAAGCGCCGGUAAGGUGAUAUGAACCGUUAUAACCGGCGAUACCCGAAUGGGGAAACCCAGUGUGAUUCGUCACACUAUCAUUAACUGAAUCCAUAGGUUAAUGAGGCGAACCGGGGGAACUGAAACAUCUAAGUACCCCGAGGAAAAGAAAUCAACCGAGAUUCCCCCAGUAGCGGCGAGCGAACGGGGAGGAGCCCAGAGCCUGAAUCAGCAUGUGUGUUAGUGGAAGCGUCUGGAAAGGCGCGCGAUACAGGGUGACAGCCCCGUACACAAAAGCGCAUGUGCUGUGAGCUCGAUGAGUAGGGCGGGACACGUGGUAUCCUGUCUGAAUAUGGGGGGACCAUCCUCCAAGGCUAAAUACUCCUGACUGACCGAUAGUGAACCAGUACCGUGAGGGAAAGGCGAAAAGAACCCCGGCGAGGGGAGUGAAAAAGAACCUGAAACCGUGUACGUACAAGCAGUGGGAGCNNGUGACUGCGUACCUUUUGUAUAAUGGGUCAGCGACUUAUAUUCUGUAGCAAGGUUAACCGAAUAGGGGAGCCGGAGGGAAACCGAGUCUUAACCGGGCGUUAAGUUGCAGGGUAUAGACCCGAAACCCGGUGAUCUAGCCAUGGGCAGGUUGAAGGUUGGGUAACACUAACUGGAGGACCGAACCGACUAAUGUUGAAAAAUUAGCGGAUGACCUGUGGCUGGGGGUGAAAGGCCAAUCAAACCGGGAGAUAGCUGGUUCUCCCCGAAAGCUAUUUAGGUAGCGCCUCGUGAAUUCAUCUCCGGGGGUAGAGCACUGUUUCGGCUAGGGGGCCAUCCCGGCUUACCAACCCGAUGCAAACUGCGAAUACCGGAGAAUGUUAUCACGGGAGACACACGGCGGGUGCUAACGUCCGUCGUGAAGAGGGAAACAACCCAGACCGCCAGCUAAGGUCCCAAAGUCAUGGUUAAGUGGGAAACGAUGUGGGAAGGCCCAGACAGCCAGGAUGUUGGCUUAGAAGCAGCCAUCAUUUAAAGAAAGCGUAAUAGCUCACUGGUCGAGUCGGCCUGCGCGGAAGAUGUAACGGGGCUAAACCAUGCACCGAAGCUGCGGCAGCGANNGUUGGGUAGGGGAGCGUUCUGUAAGCCUGUGAAGGUGGCCUGUGAGGGUUGCUGGAGGUAUCAGAAGUGCGAAUGCUGACAUAAGUAACGAUAAAGCGGGUGAAAAGCCCGCUCGCCGGAAGACCAAGGGUUCCUGUCCAACGUUAAUCGGGGCAGGGUGAGUCGACCCCUAAGGCGAGGCCGAAAGGCGUAGUCGAUGGGAAACGGGUUAAUAUUCCCGUACUUGGUGUUACUGCGAAGGGGGGACGGAGAAGGCUAUGUUGGCCGGGCGACGGUUGUCCCGGUUUAAGCGUGUAGGUGUGUGUUCCAGGUAAAUCCGGUUCACUUUAACACUGAGGCGUGAUGACGAGGCACUACGGUGCUGAAGUAACAAAUGCCCUGCUUCCAGGAAAAGCCUCUAAGCAUCAGGUAACAUCAAAUCGUACCCCAAACCGACACAGGUGGUCAGGUAGAGAAUACCAAGGCGCUUGAGAGAACUCGGGUGAAGGAACUAGGCAAAAUGGUGCCGUAACUUCGGGAGAAGGCACGCUGACACGUAGGUGAAGUGAUUUACUCAUGGAGCUGAAGUCAGUCGAAGAUACCAGCUGGCUGCAACUGUUUAUUAAAAACACAGCACUGUGCAAACACGAAAGUGGACGUAUACGGUGUGACGCCUGCCCGGUGCCGGAAGGUUAAUUGAUGGGGUCAGCGCAAGCGAAGCUCCUGAUCGAAGCCCCGGUAAACGGCGGCCGUAACUAUAACGGUCCUAAGGUAGCGAAAUUCCUUGUCGGGUAAGUUCCGACCUGCACGAAUGGCGUAAUGAUGGCCAGGCUGUCUCCACCCGAGACUCAGUGAAAUUGAACUCGCUGUGAAGAUGCAGUGUACCCGCGGCAAGACGGAAAGACCCCGUGAACCUUUACUAUAGCUUGACACUGAACAUUGAGCCUUGAUGUGUAGGAUAGGUGGGAGGCUUUGAAGCGUGGACGCCAGUCUGCGUGGAGCCGACCUUGAAAUACCACCCUUUAAUGUUUGAUGUUCUAACGUGGACCCGUGAUCCGGGUUGCGGACAGUGUCUGGUGGGUAGUUUGACUGGGGCGGUCUCCUCCUAAAGAGUAACGGAGGAGCACGAAGGUUGGCUAAUCCUGGUCGGACAUCAGGAGGUUAGUGCAAUGGCAUAAGCCAGCUUGACUGCGAGCGUGACGGCGCGAGCAGGUGCGAAAGCAGGUCAUAGUGAUCCGGUGGUUCUGAAUGGAAGGGCCAUCGCUCAACGGAUAAAAGGUACUCCGGGGAUAACAGGCUGAUACCGCCCAAGAGUUCAUAUCGACGGCGGUGUUUGGCACCUCGAUGUCGGCUCAUCACAUCCUGGGGCUGAAGUAGGUCCCAAGGGUAUGGCUGUUCGCCAUUUAAAGUGGUACGCGAGCUGGGUUUAGAACGUCGUGAGACAGUUCGGUCCCUAUCUGCCGUGGGCGCUGGAGAACUGAGGGGGGCUGCUCCUAGUACGAGAGGACCGGAGUGGACGCAUCACUGGUGUUCGGGUUGUCAUGCCAAUGGCACUGCCCGGUAGCUAAAUGCGGAAGAGAUAAGUGCUGAAAGCAUCUAAGCACGAAACUUGCCCCGAGAUGAGUUCUCCCUGAGACUUAGAGUCUCCUGAAGGAACGUUGAAGACGACGACGUUGAUAGGCCGGGUGUGUAAGCGCAGCGAUGCGUUGAGCUAACCGGUACUAAUGAACCGUG